GCGACGAGCGGGGGCGCUGCGGCUGCUGCCGGCAGGUGGCGACAGAGCCCCGCCGCUGCCCGGCCCCGCCGACGCCUGGCGGGGGCGGGGGGGGGGGGCUCGGGCUCCGCUCCGGGCCCGGGCCCCCCCUUCCGUGCUUUCCGGCGGAGGGAGGGGGCUCUGCGUGGCGCCGGGGGGCAGCGGACGAGCAGGGGGCUCGGGGCAGCCUCCUUGACGGUGGCCGCCGGCCCCGGCGCUUGCAGAGCGCUGCCGGAGGGGACAGGACGGAACACAAUGGCGGUGAUUGCGGAGAGCUGGUGGGAAUCCAGCCCCCAGCCCAGCAGCCCUGCGGUGGGAACACGCCAAGGGGCAUGGCAGGGAGGAGCAGAAGGCAGAGCAACGCUCCCUCCAGCGAGUGCAGAGGCUCAACGCUCCUUUUAGGCAUCCCACAGCCUGAAAUAAGGUACCUGGGACACCUUGCUGGGCCACCGCAUAUUAAUAUCGAUGAGCCUCCCACACCUGUCGAUGAAGACUGCUGGGAAAUUCUUCACGCGGCGUGUGAGUGGCGUAGCCGAUAUCCCCAGGGCAGGCUGGGGGGCUGGCUCCAGAGCCACGCUGGUCAGGCACAUCUGGAGUGACGGCAGCGUGGGCCCGACCGCUGCUGCGGCCCGAGCCCGGGGUGGGUUUCUAGGAGCCCUUCACCCCCAUCGGCUCUGCUGCCACCGGCUUCGCUCAGGCCUGUCUCCUUCCCUCUGCGGAGCCAAGGCAGGGGUGAAUGAGUUUGAUUGCUUGAUUUGGGUGAUUUUGGCACUGUGUUAUAAUGUGUCUUUGGCUGUCAGUGAUCCCCUUUGCCAGGGAACAAAGUAGAAGAGAGGAGCAAACAGCAAGAAAAAGGAAGACAAAUAUACUGGGGAAAGGGCCUGUGAGGAAAGAGAAAGACUGCCUUCAUCUUUCUGGAAGCUGCAAGGGACAAAAGUGGGCAGCUUCAAUAUCAUUUCUCAGCUUCUUUCCAGUAAUUCCCCUGGGUUUAAGUAAACCAGAGGUGAAUUCCUCAGAAGUGUGAAUUAAUAUGAAUACAAUUCUGAUUUAGCAAACGCCACUCUUGAGAACUACUAGAAAGGUUAUAAUAGGCCACUUUCUUCACUGCAAUGUUUUGUACUUACUACGGCGCAUUAUCAUUCUCAGGCAAAGUUGCAAAUGAAACCCUGGUCUGAGCGCACAGUGUCCCUCCUCCUCGGCGAUGCUGGGAAUGAAAUGGCUGCUGUUUCCACAUGCAGUUUUUGGAAAUGCACUCUCACUCCUGCAACCCAAACACAUAGCUGUGCUGUAGUUGCUUGAAAUGUAGGCAGACAAGGAUCUGAGUGGCCUCUGCCACUUGUUCGGACGCUGCAUCCCUUCCACUGGCAUGGCAGGUCUCGCAGGAUGUCUUGGCGAGGUGCACCGUGGACCUGCUCGGAGUUCAGUAAUUCGUUUUCACUCCUACUGGGGAAAGAAAUCCUUGGGACCCGUGCCCUUGUGAAUCUCUCCAGCAAGCCUGCCCGCUCCAUCCGAUGCGGAUGCCAGAAAAUGCAGGCAGGAGAUUGUCGCCGGUAAGUCAACGCUGUCUUUUUAGGAAACAAUUUCCUCCUUUAUUGGUGGAGCGUGUUUUACACAUCCCGGCGGUGGCUGCUGGGGACAGAGAGGCCGUAGCGACAUUGCCCAGCAACAGGAACCAUUCAAGCCCUUUUCCUCUUUCACUGUGGGAACGCGAGGGGUUUGGAGCACACCUGCUCCCCCUCCCCUGCGCUGUCACCGCCGCAGUACAGUAACUUUUUCGCUCUUGUGUGCUUCGUAUUUACCAGCACUUUGAGCGAUUGGCACUUAGUCUUCCUUGACAGCUGCUAAAAGGGGAAGCCAACGCCAUUCGAUACCACUCUCCUUUGCCAGCGCAAUUGUGAGCACCGUCAUUCAGAUGGGUGGAGAGCAAAAUCAGUGGCAGCUCGUCCCUCUGUGGGUUACAAGACGACAGCUCUCUCUGGAAGAACAAGUGCUCUGGUACACUAGGAGCAAUCACAAACUACAGCUUCCCCUCUUCUCGUCAUUCUUCUUGUUUGCUAUUAAGGGAGUGGCUUGUUCCAUCAAUGUAUACUUGUGUACGUCUACACAGACCAGGACUGCUUCCUUCCCUGGAGCUGAAAAGAAGGUAGCCCAGGGGGGUUGGCAAUAACCGAUUGCCUGGCCCCUCAUGGGGUCUCUUGCCUGACCACGGCAGAGCCCAGCAGCUUGGAUUUCUUGCCUUCUCAGGAUCUCUGCUCUGAACAGCAAGGAAACCUUCUUGCUGCACCCUGGGUUUAAUGCUCUUCACUCACCUCUGCAUAAGGCUUGGAAGCCUCUGGGCUGUAGCUUCCUGCAGCCAUCUUGUCUUUUGUCACUGAAUCAGUCAAAAUGAUCCCUGAAAAUGACUCCUGGCCGCGACCCGAAUGAGUGCAUUAGGACCAAGGAAGCGAGCACCUGUAAGAUGAGACGGCCCUGGCAUCAUAUGGAAAUGCUACUGCUUGGGAUCUCCAAGUCAAGUGGACACCCUGCACAUGGAGAGGUCUUCCAUCUGCUGUGCAAACCCUCCAGCCUAGGUAAGGAUUAGCUGCUGCCUGGGAGCUUGUGCCUGGAUAAUAAGUGUGCUGGAUGGGUACCUGCGUGGGGUAGCAUCACAGGAUGGUCUGGGCUGGAAGGGGCCUUCAAAGAGCAUCUAGUCCAACCCUCCUGCCCUGGACAGGGACACCUUCCACUAGACUAGGUUGCUCAAAGCCCUAUCCAGCCUGGCCUUGAACACUUCCAGGGAUGGUGCAUCCACAACCUCACUGGGCAACCUGUUUCAGUGUAUCACCACCCUCAUUAUAAAACAAUGUUCCUUACAUCCAAUCUAAACCCACCCUCUUUCAGUUUAAAACCAUUGCCCCCUGUCCUGUCAC